GACAGAGGGUGCAAACGUUGUUCGGAAUUACUGGGCGUAAAGCGCGUGUAGGCGGUUGCCCAAGUCGGGUGUGAAAGCCUUGAGCUCAACUCAAGAAUUGCACUCGAUACUUGGUGACUAGAGGACCGGAGAGGAAAGUGGAAUUCCUGGUGUAGCGGUGAAAUGCGCAGAUAUCAGGAAGAACACCAAUGGCGAAAGCAGCUUUCUGGGACGGUACUGACGCUGAGACGCGAAAGCGUGGGGAGCGAACAGG
rnacentral:rRNA from 1 species